rnacentral:rRNA from 1 species
CAGUAGCCGCGGUAAUACGAAGGGUGCAAGCGUUACUCGGAAUUACUGGGCGUAAAGCGUGCGUAGGUGGUGGUUUAAGUCCGUUGUGAAAGCCCUGGGCUCAACCUGGGAAUUGCAGUGGAUACUGGGUCACUAGAGUGUGGUAGAGGAUAGUGGAAUUUCCGGUGUAGCAGUGAAAUGCGUAGAGAUCGGAAGGAACAUCUGUGGCGAAGGCGACUAUCUGGGCCAACACUGACACUGAGGCACGAAAGCGUGGGGAGCAAUCAGGAUUAGAUACCCCAGUAGUCCCUGUCUCUUAUAC